AGACAAUACCCUGAAACAAUGGGGAUCUAUCUUACAAGGUUUGAGCUCUGCUGGUUUGGAGGACUUUGUCUCCAAAGGAAGAUUGUGUCCACCAGUGAACACAGCAAUGGUUUCAUUGACUUGGAAGACAAGAAUGCCACCUAGCCAUUUGGGGCUUUAUAUGACACUGAACAAAAAAGCCAAACAAAAGGAUUAUAAUAGUUCCCCCUAUCCACUUAUUUAUGGCUUCACUUCUCAAAGUUUCAGUUUCCCACAGCCAACUGUGGUCUGAAAAUAUUAAAUGGAAAAUCACAGAAAUAAACAAUUCAAGAAUUUUAAAUUGCAUACUGUUCUGAGUAGCGUGAUGAAAUCUUGUGCUGCCAGG
rnacentral:lncRNA from 10 species